rnacentral:rRNA from 1 species
AGAGUUUGAUCCUGGCUCAGAACGAACGCUGGCGGCAGGCUUAACACAUGCAAGUCGAACGCGUGUAGCAAUACACGAGUGGCGCACGGGUGAGUAACGCGUGGAUAUCUGCCUUUUGGUUCGGAAUAACCCCGGGAAACUGGGGCUAAUACCGGAUGGUUCCUACGGGAUAAAGAUUUAUCGCCAAAAGAUGAGUCCGCGUCCGAUUAGCUAGUUGGUGGGGUAAUGGCCCACCGAGGCGACGAUCGGUAGCUGGUCUGAGAGGACGAUCAGCCACACUGGGACUGAGACACGGCCCAGACUCCUACGGGAGGCAGCAGUGGGGAAUAUUGGACAAUGGGGGCAACCCUGAUCCAGCCAUGCCGCGUGAGUGAUGAAGGCCUUCGGGUUGUAAAGCUCUUUUGGCGGGGACGAUGAUGACGGUACCCGCAGAAUAAGCCCCGGCUAACUUCGUGCCAGCAGCCGCGGUAAGACGAAGGGGGCAAGCGUUGUUCGGAAUUACUGGGCGUAAAGCGAGUGUAGGCGGUUGCCCAAGUCAGGUGUGAAAGCCUUGAGCUCAACUCAAGAAAUGCACUUGGUACUGGGUGACUAGAGGACCGGAGAGGAUAGUGGAAUUCCCAGUGUAGUGGUGAAAUACGUAGAGAUUGGGA